AGCGAACGCUGGCGGUAGGCCUAACACAUGCAAGUCGAACGGCAGCACAGGAGAGCUUGCUCUCUGGGUGGCGAGUGGCGGACGGGUGAGGAAUACAUCGGAAUCUACUCUGUCGUGGGGGAUAACGUAGGGAAACUUACGCUAAUACCGCAUACGACCUACGGGUGAAAGCAGGGGACCUUCGGGCCUUGCGCGAUUGUAUGAGCCGAUGUAGGAUUAGCUAGUUGGCGGGGUAAAGGCCCACCAAGGCGACGAUCCGUAGCUGGUCUGAGAGGAUGAUCAGCCACACUGGAACUGAGACACGGUCCAGACUCCUACGGGAGGCAGCAGUGGGGAAUAUUGGACAAUGGGCGCAAGCCUGAUCCAGCCAUACCGCGUGGGUGAAGAAGGCCUUCGGGUUGUAAAGCCCUUUUGUUGGGAAAGAAAUCCAGCUGGCUAAUACCCGGUUGGGAUGACGGUACCCAAAGAAUAAGCACCGGCUAACUUCGUGCCAGCAGCCGCCGUAA
rnacentral:rRNA from 1 species